GACGAACGCUGGCGGCGUGCUUAACACAUGCAAGUCGAACGGAAAGGCCCUGCUUUUGUGGGGUGCUCGAGUGGCGAACGGGUGAGUAACACGUGAGUAACCUGCCCUUGACUUUGGGAUAACUUCAGGAAACUGGGGCUAAUACCGGAUAGGAUCUCCUGCUGCAUGGUGGGGGUUGGAAAGUUUCGGCGGUUGGGGAUGGUCUCGCGGGUUAUCGGCUUGUUGGUGGGGUAGUGGCUGACCAAGGGUUUGACGGGUAGCCGGCAUGAGAGGGGGACCGGGGACAAGGGGACUGAGGGACGGAGCAGAAGGGUAUGUGAGGCAGUGGGGGGGAACAUUGCGGAAUGAGGGGAAGCGUGAGGUGGCGACGCUGGGAGCGGGAAGAUCGGUUUCGGGGGGUAAACCAAUGUGGCCUGUGACGAAGCCUGAGUGACGGUAAUGGAUAAAGAAGCACCGGCUAACUACGUG
rnacentral:rRNA from 1 species